AUAAUCAUCAAACAUCAUAUUAAUGAUUAUUAAUUGAAAGCAUAAAUGUUCUGUCCAAUUGAUAGGAAAAAUUCUUUUAUUAGUAAUUCUAUCCACAUAGUGGAUUAAAGUAGGGCAUUUCCGAAAAUAUUUGCCCAUCGUGUGCAUACUCUCGAACAUACUUUGACAGAUGUGUGGUAACUAUAUAAACACAGCGCCCUCAUUGUAAUGAUAGAUGGGAGAAGUGAUGAAGUUUAUUACUAGGAGAAAAACAAUGAUUCAUAAAUGCGGACGUAAUUCUGAUCUCCUGUUUUACGCAGUUAGAUGGAAGUCGAUAGCAUAUUAUGCAAGUCAUAGGCUGUUGGGAUGUGGUAGGAGGUAUCGCAAAAAAGAGAAAGCAGAAUACACUCCUUCAGAGUUCAGCGGGUCGCGUUAUAUCUACUUGGAAGGACGUGGAAGAUUCAGUUGGGUGGAGCUUAUCUGAGAACUUCUGAAACAACAACAACAAAAUUAUUAGUUGCAGUGCAGAUAUACUCAGAUGUAGGUGGAAUAAAAAUAAAAACUAUGGCAUACAUCACUUACCUACAUUCCACAAUGCCACACAGGAUUAUUUUUUUGGGAGUAUGUAUGUGAAAGGGACAAAAUAUGUGACCACAGCAGUGACUAGUUGAAAGAAUUUGAAAGUGGAACACACUGCCACUCAUGAAUAUACAAAAACCUUAGUCCACCUGGCUCAGGACAGUUGCAUUGUUAGCUGCACAGGUAGAAGAUGUGCUUUGUGUUGGUGCUGCACAUUUUCUAGAUUUUGAGUGAGUUGAACUCAGUGUUCUUCUUUGGCAUAUCAGUGUAGAAGUUGGUACAGAGUAAAAAAUACAUGCAGUUCACACUUUUCCUUACAUAUAAAAGCUGACUUCAGAAUUUUCCUUUGUGUGAAACUGCAUUUGCAAGACUCAUGUGCCAAUUUAAAAUUGUAGAUGUCAUGUCACUUCUGCAUAAUAUUUCACUAAUUGUAUCAAUACCCAUUUGUACUGCAGUAAGUGUGGAAUUUCAGACAUCUGCGAGUGCCAUGAUAAACUCCUACUGUUAUAAUCAAUUGUUGGCUUAAGCUUACUUGUGGUGUUUUAAAAUUUUUGAGAAGUGUAGGCCUCUCUUCAUUCAAAACAAUCAUUCUCUAAUUUCAUUGUGUAAUUAUGUGAGAAACAGAUAAUUUUUGAGAAUUUUUGGACACUUAAAUAUUUUCAUAAAUUACUGAUAUGAGUGUGUCUGGAUAACUUAUUUCACAGCAAACCAGCUUUUUGUGAUUCACAGUUACUGGCAAAUAAUAGAGCCCCCAAAUUUCAUUGUAUAACAACACAAAAAAGUAUAUUUUUGAGAAUUUUUGGAAUUUACCAUUGUCCUGCGCAUAAUCUAAUUUGUAGUA